AUGAACGCUAGCGACAGGCUUAACACAUGCAAGUCGAGGGGCAGCGGGGGUAGCAAUACCCGCCGGCGACCGGCGCACGGGUGAGUAACGCGUAUGCAACUUACCUAUCAGAGGGGGAUAACCCGGCGAAAGUCGGACUAAUACCGCAUGAAGCAGGGGCCCCGCAUGGGGAUAUUUGCUAAAGAUUCAUCGCUGAUAGAUAGGCAUGCGUUCCAUUAGGCAGUUGGCGGGGUAACGGCCCACCAAACCGACGAUGGAUAGGGGUUCUGAGAGGAAGGUCCCCCACAUUGGUACUGAGACACGGACCAAACUCCUACGGGAGGCAGCAGUGAGGAAUAUUGGUCAAUGGGCGCGAGCCUGAACCAGCCAAGUCGCGUGAGGGAUGAAGGUUCUAUGGAUCGUAAACCUCUUUUAUAAGGGAAUAAAGUGUGGGACGUGUCCCGUUUUGUAUGUACCUUAUGAAUAAGGAUCGGCUAACUCCGUGCCAGCAGCCGCGGUAAUACGGAGGAUCCGAGCGUUAUCCGGAUUUAUUGGGUUUAAAGGGUGCGUAGGCGGCCUUUUAAGUCAGCGGUGAAAGUCUGUGGCUCAACCAUAGAAUUGCCGUUGAAACUGGGGGGCUUGAGUAUGUUUGAGGCAGGCGGAAUGCGUGGUGUAGCGGUGAAAUGCUUAGAUAUCACGCAGAACCCCGAUUGCGAAGGCAGCCUGCCAAGCCAUGACUGACGCUGAUGCACGAAAGCGUGGGGAUCAAACAGGAUUAGAUACCCUGGUAGUCCACGCAGUAAACGAUGAUCACUAGCUGUUUGCGAUACACUGUAAGCGGCACAGCGAAAGCGUUAAGUGAUCCACCUGGGGAGUACGCCGGCAACGGUGAAACUCAAAGGAAUUGACGGGGGCCCGCACAAGCGGAGGAACAUGUGGUUUAAUUCGAUGAUACGCGAGGAACCUUACCCGGGUUUGAACGCAUUUCGACCGCUCUGGAAACAGAGCCUCUAGCAAUAGCGAUUUGCGAGGUGCUGCAUGGUUGUCGUCAGCUCGUGCCGUGAGGUGUCGGCUUAAGUGCCAUAACGAGCGCAACCCUUGCCACUAGUUACUAACAGGUAAAGCUGAGGACUCUGGUGGGACUGCCAGCGUAAGCUGCGAGGAAGGCGGGGAUGACGUCAAAUCAGCACGGCCCUUACAUCCGGGGCGACACACGUGUUACAAUGGCGUGGACAAAGGGAAGCCACCUGGCGACAGGGAGCGAAUCCCCAAACCACGUCUCAGUUCGGAUCGGAGUCUGCAACCCGACUCCGUGAAGCUGGAUUCGCUAGUAAUCGCGCAUCAGCCAUGGCGCGGUGAAUACGUUCCCGGGCCUUGUACACACCGCCCGUCAAGCCAUGGGAGCCGGGGGUACCUGAAGUCCGUAACCGAAAGGAUCGGCCUAGGGUAAAACUGGUGACUGGGGCU
rnacentral:rRNA from 1 species